rnacentral:rRNA from 1 species
GACGAACGCUGGCGGCGUGCUUAACACAUGCAAGUCGAACGGAAAGGCCCUGCUUUUGUGGGGUUCUCGAGUGGCGAACGGGUGAGUAACACGUGAGUAACCUGCCCUUGACUUUGGGAUAACUUCAGGAAACUGGGGCUAAUACCGGAUAGGAGCUCCUGCUGCAUGGUGGGGGUUGGAAAGUUUCGGCGGUUGGGGAUGGACUCGCGGCUUAUCAGCUUGUUGGUGGGGUAGUGGCUUACCAAGGCUUUGACGGGUAGCCGGCCUGAGAGGGUGACCGGCCACAUUGGGACUGAGAUACGGCCCAGACUCCUACGGGAGGCAGCAGUGGGGAAUAUUGCACAAUGGGCGGAAGCCUGAUGCAGCAACGCCGCGUGCGGGAUGACGGCCUUCGGGUUGUAAACCGCUUUCGCCUGGGACGAAGCGUGAGUGACGGUAAUGGGUAAAGAAGCACCGGCUAACUACGUG